UAGGGAAUCUUCGGCAAUGGACGGAAGUCUGACCGAGCAACGCCGCGUGAGUGAAGAAGGUUUUCGGAUCGUAAAGCUCUGUUGUAAGAGAAGAACGAGUGUGAGAGUGGAAAGUUCACGCUGUGACGGUAUCUUACCAGAAAGGGACGGCUAACUACGUG
rnacentral:rRNA from 1 species